CAUGCAAGUCGAACGGAAAGGCCCUUCGGGGUGCUCGAGUGGCGAACGGGUGAGUAACACGUGGGUGAUCUGCCCUGCACUUUGGGAUAAGCCUGGGAAACUGGGUCUAAUACCGGAUAGGACUACGCACUGCAUGGUGUGUGGUGGAAAGCGUUUGCGGUGUGGGAUGGGCCCGCGGCCUAUCAGUUUGUUGGUGGGGUGAUGGCCUACCAAGGCGACGACGGGUAGCCGGCCUGAGAGGGUGUCCGGCCACACUGGGACUGAGAUACGGCCCAGACUCCUACGGGAGGCAGCAGUGGGGAAUAUUGCACAAUGGGCGCAAGCCUGAUGCAGCGACGCCGCGUGAGGGAUGACGGCCUUCGGGUUGUAAACCUCUUUCACUAGGGACGAAGCGGAAGUGACGGUACCUAGAGAAGAAGCACCGGCCAACUACGUGCCAGCAGCCGCGGUAAUACGUAGGGUGCGAGCGUUGUCCGGAAUUACUGGGCGUAAAGAGCUCGUAGGUGGUUUGUCGCGUUGUUCGUGAAAACUCACA
rnacentral:rRNA from 1 species